UACGAAGGGGGCUAGCGUUGUUCGGAAUCACUGGGCGUAAAGGGCGCGUAGGCGGCUUUGUAAGUCGGGGGUGAAAGCCUGUGGCUCAACCACAGAAUUGCCUUCGAUACUGCAUGGCUUGAGACCGGAAGAGGUAAGUGGAACUGCGAGUGUAGAGGUGAAAUUCGUAGAUAUUCGCAAGAACACCAGUGGCGAAGGCGGCUCACUGGCCCGGUACUGACGCUGAGGUGCGAAGGCGUGGGGAGCAAACAGG
rnacentral:rRNA from 1 species